AACAAGAGACCCUAAACCUUAGUUUCUUGUAGCUUUGAGCGACCGACAUUUAUUUCCUUUUUCUCUCUACGAAUUGAAUCACCUUGAUCAGAUCUAAAACCCAGAUUAUAGAUCGGCCAAAUCGGUGGUUCCUGAAGACUACAUAUCUGUUUUUCUUCCAACACACGUUUGAAGGUAAGGCUGCUAUGGAUGAAUGCCAACAUAUGGAGGAAGAUUUUCCAAGUUGUACUAAUAACAUUGAGGAUAUCCAGCAACCAGUGAAGGAAAUAAGCAAUUCAAAUGAAUCUUCACCCAAUGUGCCUGUAAUGGUUGAGAUUGAGCAAAGAAGUCUUGAACCCAUCUGUGGAAACAACAUUCUGAUGGCAGAAAAAGAAAGAACAAAUAAGAUUAUGGAAAGCUUUAUUCAAUGUCUUAAAGGAAUACAGGGAUAAACUUCAGGUUGCUGAAAAUGAAAUAGUCAAUCUACAAGAAAACCUCUCAAUGGAGAAGACCAAAAGUUCUGGAUUAAAGCUUGAACUAGAGUCCUCCUGUUUGUGUAGUAAAGAAAUUACAUCUACAAAAAGUGAGAAAUGUCUUUCUGAUGAUAUCAACCAUAGGGGUGAAAUAAUUCUGAAGGCACGAGCCCUUAAAUACCUGCUAAACCCUAAACCCUAAAGAGACCACUGAUC